GAGGGUAUAGCUCAAUUGGUAGAGUGCAUGCUAAGCACGCACAAGGUCUUGGGUUCAAUCCCCGGUACCUUCA
rnacentral:tRNA from 1 species